rnacentral:rRNA from 1 species
AGAGUUUGAUCAUGGCUCAGGAUGAACGCUAGCUACAGGCUUAACACAUGCAAGUCGAGGGGAAACGAUAUUGGAAGCUUGCUUCCGAUAGGCGUCGACCGGCGCACGGGUGAGUAACGCGUAUCCAACCUGCCCACCACUUGGGGAUAACCUUGCGAAAGUAAGACUAAUACCCAAUGACGUCUCUAGAAGACAUCUGAAAGAGAUUAAAGAUUUAUCGGUGAUGGAUGGGGAUGCGUCUGAUUAGCUUGGUUGGGCGGGGUAACGGCCCACCAAGGCUACGAUCGAGGUAGGGGUUCUGGAGACGGAACGGUCCCCCAGAUUGGAACUGAGACACGGUCCAAACUCCGUACGGGAGCA